UGGGGAAUCUUGCGCAAUGGGCGAAAGCCUGACGCAGCAACGCCGCGUGCGGGAUGAAGGCCUUCGGGUUGUAAACCGCUUUCAGCAGGGACGAAAAUGACGGUACCUGCAGAAGAAGCCCCGGCUAACUACGUGCCAGCAGCCGCGGUAAUACGUAGGGGGCAAGCGUUGUCCGGAUUUAUUGGGCGUAAAGAGCUCGUAGGCGGUUCCGUAAGUCGAGUGUGAAAAAUCUGGGCUCAACCCAGUGGAGCACUCGAUACUGCGGUGACUAGAGUACGGUAAAGGAGUGUGGAAUUCCUGGUGUAGCGGUGAAAUGCGCAGAUAUCAGGAGGAACACCAACGGCGAAGGCAGCACUCUGGGCCGGUACUGACGCUGAGGAGCGAAAGCGUGGGGAGCAAACG
rnacentral:rRNA from 1 species